GACGAACGCUGGCGGCGUGCUUAACACAUGCAAGUCGAACGGUAAGGCCCUUCGGGGUACACGAGUGGCGAACGGGUGAGUAACACGUGGGUGAUCUGCCCUGCACUUUGGGAUAAGCCUGAGAAACUGGGUCUAAUACCGAAUAGGACUCCGGACUGCAUGGUCUGGGGUGGAAAGCUUUUGCGGUGUGGGAUGGGCCCGCGGCCUAUCAGCUUGUUGGUGGGGUGAUGGCCUACCAAGGCGACGACGGGUAGCCGGCCUGAGAGGGUAACCGGCUACACUGGGACUGAGAUACGGCCCAGACUCCUACGGGAGGCAGCAGUGGGGAAUAUUGCACAAUGGGCGCAAGCCUGAUGCAGCGACGCCGCGUGAGGGAUGACGGCCUUCGGGUUGUAAACCUCUUUCAGCACAGACGAAGCGCAAGUGACGGUAUGUGCAGAAGAAGGACCGGCCAACUACGUGCCAGCCGCCGCCGUAAAAC
rnacentral:rRNA from 1 species